AAGCGAGGACGACCUCCCCCAUUCAGGGAAUCAUGUCGGGACGGCCCGA
rnacentral:ncRNA from 1 species